AUUGAACGCUGGCGGCAUGCCUUACACAUGCAAGUCGAACGGCAGCGCGGGAGCAAUCCUGGCGGCGAGUGGCGAACGGGUGAGUAAUACAUCGGAACGUGCCCAAUCGUGGGGGAUAACGCAGCGAAAGCUGUGCUAAUACCGCAUACGAUCUACGGAUGAAAGCAGGGGAUCGCAAGACCUUGCGCGAAUGGAGCGGCCGAUGGCAGAUUAGGUAGUUGGUGAGGUAAAGGCUCACCAAGCCUUCGAUCUGUAGCUGGUCUGAGAGGACGACCAGCCACACUGGGACUGAGACACGGCCCAGACUCCGACGGGAGGCAGCAGUGGGGAAUUUUGGACAAUGGGCGAAAGCCUGAUCCAGCCAUGCCGCGUGCAGGAUGAAGGCCUUCGGGUUGUAAACUGCUUUUGUACGGAACGAAACGGUCUUUUCUAAUAAAGAAGGCUAAUGACGGUACCGUAAGAAUAAGCACCGGCUAACUACGU
rnacentral:rRNA from 1 species